CGGGUACUCAGGAUGUGCACGGCACAACUGGCAGAUGUCUUUCCUAAUGAUCAGCUUAACUGAUAAAGCCAUGACUGGGAAACAGAGAACUGAAGAGCUGUUGGUCUUACUUCAGAUACUGCAGAUGAAAAGGAACAUGCAAAAUUGACAUGGAAGCGGGCUCUUUGGACCUCCUCUUACUCUGCUGUUCAAUAAGAUCACAACUGAUCUUUAACAUCAUCAUCACUUUCUUGCACUAGUGAUGAAGGAAUAUAUCAACUGCAUUUCAAGCCCGAAGUCCUCAAGUGAAGUUACAAGAAUGGAGGUGAAGCUAAAUCAGAGAUGGCAG